rnacentral:rRNA from 1 species
AGUUUUAUGUAUAUAUAUAAAAUUAAUUCUGCCCAGUGAUUUUUUAACGGCCGCAGUACUUUGACUGUGCUAAGGUAGCAUAAUAAUUUGACUUUUAAAUGGAGUCUAGAAUGAAUGGGAUAAUGGGGGGAAACUGUCUUUUAAUAAUUGUUUAUAAUUUAUUUACUAGGUGAAAAUACCUAGAUUUUUAGAAAAAAGACGAGAAGACCCUAAGAAUUUUUAGAAUAUGAUUUCUUGUCUUAUGUUUUUGUUGGGGUGACAAAUUAACAUAUAACUUAUUUUUUUUACAUACCGAUUAAUAAUAAAGGGUAAAUUACCUUAGGGAUAACAGCAUAAUUUAUUAAAAAGAUUGUGACCUCGAUGUUGGACUAGGAACUUUAUGGUAAGUAACCAAUAAAGAUUGUUCUGUUCGAACAUUAUUUCCU